UACGUAGGGACCGAGCGUUGUCCGGAAUCAUUGGGCGUAAAGAGCGUGUAGGCGGCUUGUUAAGUCUUGCGUGAAAUCUCGGGGCUCAACCCCGAGCGGUCGUGAGAAACUGGCAGGCUAGAGUGCGGGAGAGGAGAGUGGAAUUCCUGGUGUAGCGGUGGAAUGCGCAGAUAUCAGGAAGAACACCCGUGGCGAAGGCGGCUCUCUGGACCGUAACUGACGCUGAGGCGCGAAAGCGUGGGGAGCAAACAGG
rnacentral:rRNA from 1 species